AAAGGGGAAAAGUUCCAAAUAUCCCUAAAUUGUUUUCUCCUGCUUGCCUCCUUUCUUGUUCUUCUCCCGCUUCUCUCAUCUCUCCGACAUCUCGAUAGUACCAGUGUGAAGGUCAUUUGUGACGCAUGCCUCCUCUUCCGCUUCUCCGUUAUAUCCUUUGCAUUGGCGUAGAGGUGAUUUGUGAUGAGGCUCGCACUUGCUUUGCUUUUCCCAUCUCUCUGACAUCUCGUUAGCACCAGUGUGGAGGUCAUUUAUGAUGAGGAAAAUGUUUUGAUUUGUUCUAUAAUUUUGGUGUUGCAAGCAAGAAUAAAGGUGCACAAAAUCCUUCAAGUGUACCUGGUCUCAAGUCCUUGAGGAGUCAUAGAAAGAUGUAGACAAGAUGCUAUGAAUUGUGGUUCAACUUGCUUUUGAAAAUGGUAAAGCUUAGAAUAACAUUUUUUGCUUGUAUGAAGUGAUUCCUUUCUUGUACUAAAAAACAAGAAACAACUUAGUUUCUUUCAAAUCUUCACACCUUUUGAUUCCUUCUUAGGUUCCUUUUGUACUAAAAAAUAAGAAACAACUUAAUAUUCUUUUUCAUUCCAUCAUAUGGUGUGCCUAAAUUUAAAACAAUAGUAAGAGUUAACAUGUUCA